rnacentral:rRNA from 1 species
UACGUAGGGUGCGAGCGUUAAUCGGAAUUACUGGGCGUAAAGCGUGCGCAGGCGGUUUGUUAAGUCUGAUGUGAAAGCCCCGGGCUCAACCUGGGAACUGCAUUGGAAACUGGCAAGCUCGAGUAUGGCAGAGGGGGGUGGAAUUCCGCGUGUAGCAGUGAAAUGCGUAGAGAUGCGGAAGAACACCAGUGGCGAAGGCGGCUCACUGGCCCGGUACUGACGCUGAGAUACGAAAGCGUGGGGAGCAAACAGG